GUGGGAAUAUUGCACAAUGGGCGCAAGCCUGAUGCAGCCAUGCCGCGUGUAUGAAGAAGGCCUUCGGGUUGUAAAGUACUUUCAGCGAGGAGGAAGGCGUUGUGGUUAAUAACCGCAGCGAUUGACGUUACUCGCAGAAGAAGCACCGGCUAACUCCGUGCCAGCAGCCGCGGUAAUACGGAGGGUGCAAGCGUUAAUCGGAAUUACUGGGCGUAAAGCGCACGCAGGCGGUCUGUCAAGUCGGAUGUGAAAUCCCCGGGCUCAACCUGGGAACUGCAUCCGAAACUGGCAGGCUAGAGUCUUGUAGAGGGGUA
rnacentral:rRNA from 1 species